rnacentral:rRNA from 1 species
CAGCGCGUAAAUACCAGCGCAACGGCACCCCCGAUAGAACAUAGCUGAGUACACGGCAGCGGUCUCCCUUGUAGUCAAUUAUCCGCGUGAACCGGAUUGUUCUAAUGUCCAAUAGCUAGCCCACCCCCUAAAGAACAACUUACCCCCCUAACUAACCCCA